CAAUAGCGUAUAUUAAAGUCGUUGCAGUUAAAAAGCUCGUAGUUGGAUUUCUGGUGGGAGCGAUCGGUCUGGCGCUUAGCGCGAGUACUUGCAUCGUCUCCGGCCAUCCUUGGGGAGAGUCUGUCUGGCAUUAGGUUGUCGGGCAGAGGAUCCUCAUCGUUUACUGUGAAAAAAUUAGAGUGUUCGGAGCAGGCUUAUGCCGUUGAAUAUAUUAGCAUGGAAUAAUAAGAUAGGACUUUGGUACUAUUUUGUUGGUUUGCGCACCAAAGUAAUGAUUAAUAGGGACAGUUGGGGGUAUUCGUAUUCCGUUGUCAGAGGUGAAAUUCUUGGAUUUACGGAAGACGAACUACUGCGAAAGCAUUUACCAAGGAUGUUUUCAUUAA
rnacentral:rRNA from 1 species